rnacentral:rRNA from 1 species
AACGAACGCUGGCGGCAUGCCUAACACAUGCAAGUCGAACGAGACCUUCGGGUCUAUUUGCGCACGUGUGCGUAACGCGUGGGAACCUGCCCUUAGGUUCGGUAUAACUCCCCGAAAGGUGUGCUAAUACCGGAUAAUGUCUUCGGACCAAAGAUUUAUCGCCUUUGGAUGGGCCCGCGUUGGAUUAGCGGGUUGGUAGUGUAAAAGCCUACCAAGGCGACGAUGCAUAGCUGGUCUGAGAGGAUGAUCAGCCACAAUGGGAAUGAGACACGGCCCAGACUCCUACGGGAGGCAGCAGUGGGGAAUAUUGGACAAUGGGGGAAAGCCUGAUAAAGCAAUGCCGCGGGAGUGAUGAAGGCCUUAGGGUUGUAAAGCUCUUUUACCCGGGAUGAUAAUGACAGUACCGGGAGAAUAAGCUCCGGCUAACUCCGUG